UACGUAGGGAGCAAGCGUUGUCCGGAUUUACUGGGCGUAAAGGAUGCGUAGGCGGACAUUUAAGUCAGAUGUGAAAUACCCGAGCUUAACUUGGGUGCUGCAUUUGAAACUGGGUGUCUAGAGUGCAGGAGAGGUAAGUGGAAUUCCUAGUGUAGCGGUGAAAUGCGUAGAGAUUAGGAAGAACACCAGUGGCGAAGGCGACUUACUGGACUGUAACUGACGCUGAGGCAUGAAAGCGUGGGGAGCAAACAGG
rnacentral:rRNA from 1 species